UACGUAGGCAGCGAGCGUUGUUCGGAGUUACUGGGCGCAAGGCGUGCGUAGGCGGUGGUCCAAGUCUGGUGUGAAAUCUCCCGGCUUAACUGGGAGGGUGCGCCGGAAACUGGGCCGCUGGAGUACGGGAGAGGCAAGCGGAAUUCCAGGUGUAGCGGUGAAAUGCGUAGAUAUCUGGAGGAACACCCGUGGUGCAGACGGCUUGCUGGACCGUGACUGACGCUGAGGCACGAAAGCGUGGGUAGCAAACAGG
rnacentral:rRNA from 1 species